ensembl:misc_RNA
GCACCAGGCCCCAGAGACUGAAGUUCCUUGUUCAUCCAUACAACAGGUACAGCAUUAACAGUGGCAGUACAAGCUUCUCCCCUACCAAUGCUACAACAAGGAGUCUCAACCUUGUUCUUAGUUCCCCCAUACAUUCAAUCCUUGACCUCCCCUCUGAAUUUGUCAAAACAGUCUUGGUGCCAAUUGUGGCAGUACCAUGAU